GAUGAACGCUGGCGGCGUGCCUAAUACAUGCAAGUCGAGCGAACGGACGAGAAGCUUGCUUUUCUGAUGUUAGCGGCGGACGGGUGAGUAACACGUGGAUAACCUACCUAUAAGACUGGGAUAACUUCGGGAAACCGGAGCUAAUACCGGAUAAUAUUUUGAACCGCAUGGUUCAAAAGUGAAAGACGGUCUUGCUGUCACUUAUAGAUGGGUCCGCGCUGCAUUAGCUAGUUGGUAAGGUAACGGCUUACCAAGGCAACGAUGCAUAGCCGACCUGAGAGGGUGAUCGGCCACACUGGAACUGAGACACGGUCCAGACUCCUACGGGAGGCAGCAGUAGGGAAUCUUCCGCAAUGGGCGAAAGCCUGACGGAGCAACGCCGCGUGAGUGAUGAAGGUCUUCGGAUCGUAAAACUCUGUUAUUAGGGAAGAACAUAUGUGUAAGUAACUGUGCACAUCUUGACGGUACCUAAGCAGAAAGCCACGGCUAACUACGU
rnacentral:rRNA from 1 species